rnacentral:rRNA from 1 species
UACGUAGGGGGCAAGCGUUGUCCGGAAUCAUUGGGCGUAAAGCGCGCGUAGGCGGCCCGGUAAAUCCGUUGUGAAAGUCAAAGGCUCAACCUUUGAACGCCGAUGGAUACUGCCGGGCUAGAGUCCGGAAGAGGCGAGUGGAAUUCCUGGUGUAGCGGUGGAAUGCGCAGAUAUCGAGAGGAACACCUAUGGCGAAGGCAGCUCGCUGGGACGUUACUGACGCUGAGACGCGAAAGCGUGGGGAGCAAACAGG